rnacentral:rRNA from 1 species
UAACGGCGAGUGAAGCGGCAACAGCUCAAAUUUGAAAUCUGGCCUUCGGGUCCGAGUUGUAAUUUGCAGAGGAUGCUUUUGGUGAGGUGCCUUCCGAGUUCCCUGGAACGGGACGCCAUAGAGGGUGAGAGCCCCGUCUGGUCGGACACCAAUCCUUUGUAAAGCUCCUUCGACGAGUCGAGUAGUUUGGGAAUGCUGCUCUAAAUGGGAGGUAUAUGUCUUCUAAAGCUAAAUACCGGCCAGAGACCGAUAGCGCACAAGUAGAGUGAUCGAAAGAUGAAAAGCACUUUGAAAAGAGAGUUAAACAGUACGUGAAAUUGUUGAAAGGGAAGCGCUCAUGACCAGACUUGGGCUUGGUUGAUCAACUUGGGUUCUCCCGGGUGCACUCUUCCUCGUCCAGGCCAGCAUCAGUUCGCUGCGGGGGAUAAAGGUUUCGGGAAUGUGGCUCCCUCGGGAGUGUUAUAGCCCGUUGCGUAAUACCCUGCGGUGGACUGAGGUCCGCGCAUCUGCAAGGAUGCUGGCGUAAUGGUCAUCAGCGACCCGUCUUGAAACACGGACCAAGGAGUCGUCUUCGUAUGCGAGUGUUCGGGUGUUAAACCCCUACGCGGAAUGAAAGUGAACGCAGGUGAGAGCUUCGGCGCAUCAUCGACCGAUCCUGAUGUUCUCGGAUGGAUUUGAGUAA